rnacentral:siRNA from 1 species
GUCGAGUGGUCUGCUGAGGUUGUG